CUGCAGCUUAUUAAGCCGACUGGUUGUGUUCUCGUACAUCUCCAGUGUGCAAAGGCUGCAGACAGAGACUCUUUGGUUGUGUAUGUCCUCAGCUGUGAGGUGCUGAGUGCUUUAAGGGACCACUGAGACAAAA
rnacentral:snoRNA from 12 species